AAAACAUCCCUCUCUGCUCACCUACACUUGCUGUCUACACAUUCUUCCUUCUGGUUCAUGGUCCUCCUCACUGGGUUUCUGUUAGUUCCUACCUACCUAACACACCACGUAUUUCCUGGGUGGGCCCAUGACGUGUUUGUGUUCUAAGGAAAGCUGACAUUCAGCACUGUGGAUUCGCUGCUGGCACAGAAAUACAGGGCUGAAUCCCCUGGCUUGGUGGACUUGAUUUCCAGGCUGCAAGGUGAGUUGCCGGGGCACUGAGCCGAAAAUUGAUCAUCGAACAUCUCUACUUUAUCGACAAUGUUUUGAUUCUGUGUCCAGGAUUCUGGGUGACCUGGGUGUCCACGGAACCUGUGGAGGAAAGAGACAGAAACUGGAGAGAAAGCCCAGGAGGCAGCCUGACAUGCAGCCACCGGAGAAAGUCCUGAAGCUGGAAUGCAACAAGUCCACAGCACGAGCUCACCUGCUCCCCAGAAUAAAAGUGCCACGCAGCAGAGAAGCCUGAAGCGCAUGGUGGGCUCAGGAGAAAAGCAGUGGCAGGUGGCCUUUGCUAUAAGUCUCCCCUGUCCCCAUCAGCAACCUCCUUGUGAUGCAAUCGCUGGCCAUUGCCUUCACAGCCACCGUGUGUAUGAGACUAAAACAUUUCAUGGGAUGUAGGAGGGCAGGGAGAGCUGCCGGAAACCACUAGGGUGAGUUUCCACCUGCCUUUACUUCCUUUCUCGCAGACUCUGCUCUUCUGCUAUUUUUUUAAAGUCACUUAUACAUUAUUCACUUCUUUGCUUUUUAACUUGUUAAUUUACCUUCCCCCCUUCCCCUUUCUGUCUCAGGCAAUGGAUCACAUAGCAUGCUGUAUAUCAAUCAUAGUUUUGCCACACUUACACAAUCACUGAGCAGUUACUUUAUGUUAAAAAAAUGUUGACCUAUACAAAACAAUAUUUAUGACAAAUGCGUGAUGCAUCUAGGGAAACGAUAGAAUGACUGCUCUCGCCUGAGGCAAUCGGCUUAGGACUUGGGUUCUGACAACUGAGAAUUGAAGCCCCUGUGUCAUUCUUCUAGAUGUCAUUGUUUUCUCACCAUGUCCAGGUCUCCAUUGCCCUGAAGUUUACAUUUUUAUUUUCUGGCUUUUCAUUAUAUUUGUAGUACGUAAAUAAACAUCCAUACAUUACAAAUUA